AAAAUAUUCCUUAUAUCCGAUAAGAACUCGGCGUUCGGACAGAAGAAAAACUCCCUCCAAAAAAUCUCUCUAAAUUCCCAAAAUGCCCUCAUCCCUCCCGCUCUCCCCUCAUCUCGCUCCAUCCAACGGCCCAUAUCCACCGCACACCUCAACCCCACCACCAUCCAACUGUCCAAAUACCACCACCCACAUCCAUUUCCCACUCCCUCCCUCAUUUCCCAAAACCCCCAUCAAAGUGCCCACUCCCCCUUGGAUUAAAGGCCCACUCCUCCUCCCCCCAGAAAAAAUCUUAGACCUCUCCCAAAAAUCCCACAAGAACCAUACCCGAAAACCCUACAGCCGUGAUCGCUCGCUGACUGAGAAGGUCAGAGGAGGCCGCGGCAGGCAAGCGAUGAAGAAGAUCCUCGAGAGCAUCGCAAAGCUCCAGGAAUUUGACGCCUCCGAUGGCGCGGAGUCUCCGGCUAUAGAAUCUGGAUUUGAAUUUGAGGUUCCGUUGGGAGAACAGGCGGAAGACGAAGAUGGACGGUCGGGAUCGAAUGAAGGUGGGAAAAUGCCAUGGGCACGGGCAGAGAAGAUUGUGUUUUGGAGAGUGAAGAAGGAGAGGGUGGCGACGAAGGCGGAGUUGAGCCUUUCGGAAGCGGAAUUGGUGAGGCUGAGGAGGGAGGCUGUGAAGAUUAGGAAGUGGAUAAAGGUUAAGAAGGUUGGAGUGAGUUUGGAUGUGGUUGAUGAGAUAAGGAAGACAUGGAGGGAGAGUGAGCUUGUGAUGUUGAAGUUCGAUCUGCCGUUGUGUCGGAAUAUGGAUAGAGCGCGGGAAAUCAUCGAGACUAAGACCGGAGGCUUGGUUGUUUGGAGCAAAAAAGACAUGCUGGUUGUUUAUAGAGGCAAUGACUAUCAAAUAACUUCGAAAUCUUUUCCCAAGCACUCUGCUCUUGCCAGUGUUGAAAAUUUUGUCAGUAGGAAUUCUGAAGAUCGCACUACUAUUUUUGAAGAUGGAAUGGUAGAUACAAGUGACACUGAGGAGGAUUCUAAUUCUCCUCCAACUGGCUUGGUUAUGGGGAUUGACAGUGGUGCUGGAUUGAUUGAUGGGACAUUGUUCGAAAGGGAAGCUAACAGAUUAUUGGAUGGAUUAGGACCUCGUUUUGUUGACUGGUGGUGGUCAAAGCCUCUGCCUGUAGAUGCAGACUUGCUUCCAGAAGUAGUUCCUGGCUUUAGGCCUCCAUGUAGGCUCUGCCCUCCACGUAUGAGACCAAAACUGACAGAUGAUGAACUAACAUACUUGCGGAAGCUUGCUCGUCCCUUACCUACGCACUUUGUCCUUGGGAGAAACACAAGAUUUCAAGGCUUGGCUGCUGCUAUCUUGAAGUUGUGGGAAAAAAGUCUUAUAGUAAAAAUUGCAGUGAAGUGGGGAAUUCCAAAUACGAAUAACGCACAAAUGGCAUGGGAACUCAAGCGUCUCACUGGAGGAGUUCUAAUAUUACGGAACAAGUUCUUUAUCAUACUCUAUAGGGGGAAGGAUUUUCUUCCUCGUAGUGUGGCAAAUAUGAUUGCUGAGAGGGAAAUAGAGCUUAAAACCCAGCAACUGGCAGAAGAAAAUGCUCGAUUAAAGGCAGUUGAAUCAUUUCGAGUUUCUGAAGAAACAUCACCCAGCACCCGCACGAGUGGAACUUUUUCAGAAUUUCAUGAUAUCCAAACAAAACGUGGGCACCCGAUGGACAGAAAUUGGGAGAUUAAAGUUCGAAUUGAAGCUGAAAAAGAUCGAUUGGAGAAGGAAUUGAGAAAACAAGAGCAUAAACUGCUGAUUCUUAAGCUGAAGACAGAGAGAUCAGAGAAACAGCUGGCUAAGCUUAAUUCCUCAUGGAGCCCUGCAGAUGCAGCAUCUGAUCAGGAAAUGCUAACUGAAGAGGAAAGACAAAUUCUCCGAAAUAUAGGUCUGAAAAUGGAUGAAAUCUUAUUGCUCGGGAGACGUGGUAUAUAUGAUGGCAUAAUUGGAAGCAUACAUCAGCAUUGGAAACAUAGAGAAGUUGUGAAAGUAGUUUCAAUGCAGAAAUCAUUUUCACAAGUUAUGAAUACUGCGAUAUUGCUGGAAAUUGAGAGUGGUGGGAUUUUGGUCUUUGUGGAGAAGCUAAGAAAAGGCCAUGCUAUAAUCAUUUACCGUGGGAAAAAUUACAGGCGCCCAGUAAAAUUACUGCCUGAAAAUCUACUGACAAAAAAAGAAGCGUUACAGCGAUCUAUUGAAAUGCAGAGACGAGGAUGCCUGAAGUAUUUUGCGUACCAGAGACAACGGACAAUCUGGAAUUUGAAACACAAACUAAGAGAAAUUCAAGAAAAAAGUGAGGAACUAGUUCAAUGCAAACCCAAGGACCCGUAAGAGCCACGACUCUAGCAAGACGUAUUAUGCAAUGACUCUCUCAAAGGAGACUUGCUCGAGUAUCCGAUGAGUAUUGGAAUGAUGAUGUGGCUAUCAUUGAUAGUCUCGAACUCCCCAUCAGAACUGGAGCUCAGAAUAUGUAGAUUUCACUUUCUUCCCAAUCGGAACACCUUCAACAACAGAGUUUUUGAACACAUGCUUCUCAUCAUCCAUUGCAUCCACAUGGUCUUUCCAGUAGCGGAAGUCCUUGAUGGCUGCAAACUCAACAAAACAAAUACUUCCUGUUGCUUUCAUAUUGAAGUUGAAACUAGGAAAUGGAACAUAGGAGAUUAGCUAAUGCGAAAAUAUUACCUUACUGUGAAGUUGGACUGCCUGAUAGUCCCGACCCCACCAUCUCCUUCAAGAACGACGAUGCUAGAUGCUAUGUCAGGUAGAAGCUUGGGCAUGAGGUUGUGGGAGUCUUUUACAAUCGCCUUCCAGAGUCUGUUGGGUGGGAUGGGAGAUAUGAUCUCGUUGCCAAUAGAAACUGCAAUCAUGUUGUUUUGCCAUGUUCUCUCAGGAGAUGCUCCUUUGCUAGAGAAGUGAGGAUGGUCUUGAGUAGAAGAUGAGAUGCACGGAGAUUUAUUCAUGUUGAGGGCAGGAGGAAGUUGGGGAUGCUGGGCUCAUCUUAGGAUACAUCACCCUGAAUUCAUAUAAAAGCUUAUACAGAUUUGCUCACAUACAUCCCUAAGUAUUGUAAUUGGGAAUUUAGCCAUUGGAGUGGGGAUUUUUCCAAUAACAUAAACUUUUUAUCUCCG